AAUCCGACCCGUGUCUGCAUUCUGGGUGGUGCGUGAGUACAACAAACGGUUAUACAUGUCAAUGUUCAUCAAGAUAUACAGGGAAAAACUGUCAAACAUUUGUUACAACUUCGACGACCCAGUCUACUACAACAGCAACACCAACUUCUUGGAAAAAAAUUACUCAACCAACAUCAUGGUUAAAGGUGUCUCAACGUA